rnacentral:lncRNA from 1 species
CUCAUUCCUCUUUCAUGACUAAAUGCUGAUGCCCGAGUUGCUUGGUGAGCUUUAUUUGGGGAAGGAAGAGCUGCCACCCUAGUCUCUAAAUGACCAUGUGGAGCAAAUUUACCCCAGAAACAUCCUGCUGACAUAGAACUACCUCGGACACCAUGUGAGUGAGAAGGCUUCAGAAAAGAUGUAAGAACUACCAAAGCAGCUCAGAAAACUCUUGUGUAUUAAGGAAACAUCGUGGACAUUCUCCGAGUGCUGCUCUACGCUGGCACUGGACACAGAAUCGGGUGGGACGGACGGGGCCCCUUCGCCCCUCCUGUUUCAUGUGCAUCAGCCAGCAACAUUUCCACGUCGGGUAUUUUCCAAGACGGUCCUGAGUCUCUGUAUUUUUUUCCUUUUCAGCAAAGAUGAUUCAUUAAAUGUCAAACCAAAUAUGACCUUAUUUUAGUACCUUUGUCAGACUUAAAAAAAAAUACCUAGAGAUCAGAACAACAAAUCCUUUGUCAGUUUCUGAAGUAGGGUCUCAUGAGUAGCAGUAAUUGUAGUGGUAUGUACAUAGCAG